GUUCAUUGUGGUAUUUGUGGCCUUUAUGAUGGGAAUGUUCAACGUCUACUCCUACUACAUUGGUGCAAAACAAAAUGAAGCCUUCACAACAGAGUUUUAAGACACUGUUCUGGGCUAUAUUUGGACUUUCUGAAGUGAAAUCAGUGGUCAUCAGCUAUAACCACAAAUUCAUUGCUAUAAUGUUCCAGGAAAUUGAGGAUGACGCUGAUGUGGAGUGGAAAUUUGCAAGGGCCAAACUCUUGUUUUCCUGCUUUGGGGCGGGGAGAGCACUUCCUGUUCCCUUCAAUCUGGUGCAGGGUCCAGUGUCCCUGUUUUUCUCUUGGUGAAGCUUAAAGGGUGGAUUUCUGAGCUCUACUCAGGGUCAUAGAAAAGGUUUCCA
rnacentral:lncRNA from 1 species